GGAUUUACCUUCAUCAGGAACGCUCAAAGCCAAACAUUUGAAAUCCGAAGAUGUAUAAGUACCGAAACCGUUGAAGAGCUGUAUGUCAAAAAUACCUAAAAAUAAAUAGCCAAAUUCAUCUAAAGCCAACUUUGCCUGAGGGAGUUGAAACCUUAGUUUCUUAAUAAUUUAUAAAUUUAUAAACGGACAAUUUUAGUAAAGUUUGUUUAA
rnacentral:lncRNA from 1 species